rnacentral:rRNA from 1 species
GUAAUGCUUGGGAAUCUGGCUUAUGGAGGGGGACAACAGUGGGAAACUGCAGCUAAUACCGCGUAUUCUCUGAGGAGGAAAGGGUGGGACCUUAGGGCCACCUGCCAUAAGAUGAGCCCAAGUGGGAUUAGGUAGUUGGUGGGGUAAAGGCCUACCAAGCCUGCGAUCUCUAGCUGGUCUGAGAGGAUGACCAGCCACACUGGAACUGAGACACGGUCCAGACUCCUACGGGAGGCAGCAGUGGGGAAUAUUGCGCAAUGGGGGGAACCCUGACGCAGCCAUGCCGCGUGAAUGAAGAAGGCCUUCGGGUUGUAAAGUUCUUUCGGUAAUGAGGAAGGGAUGUUGUUAAAUAGAUAGCAUCAUUGACGUUAAUUACAGAAGAAGCACCGGCUAACUCCGUGCCAGCAGCCGCGGUAAUACGGAGGGUGCGAGCGUUAAUCGGAAUAACUGGGCGUAAAGGGCAACGCAGGCGGACUUUUAAGUGAGAUGUGAAAUCCCCGAGCUUAACUUGGGAACUGCAUUUCAGACUGGGAGUCUAGAGUACUUUAGGGAGGGGUAGAAUU